AGGGGGAGAGAGAAGGACAUCUGAGUUAAAAAAAAAGCAGAACAUUUUUUAACAUUUGGAAGUGCAAUAAGACAUUCAAGCUUAAAAGAAGGCUGAAAAUGAAUGAAAUUCAUGGUUCAUAAACAACUACUUAAUUCCAACUUGCUCUUGACGAACUUUCUACAGAUGUCAGCGGCGUCUUCUCAUCAGUCGCUCCAGACUCCUAGAAGGCUGGCUUUGACUUUGCCAGGGUUUCAAGAAAUGGAACUCUCCUGGGCCCAGCAUUUAGGUGCAUCUACGAAGAAAGCUUGGCAGCACCUCUACUUCCUUACGAAUUUACAAAGAUUCGGUAUGACAUCUAGAACUUUGACAGACUUCUACAGAUGUGUGGUGGCCAGUAUAUUGACUGGUAUAUUGAUCACAGCCUGCUAUGGAAACACCAAUGCCCUCGAACAGAAAAUUCUACAACAAGUAUUGGAUAUUGCCCAGUCCAUCACGGGUAAAGCCCUCCCACCAUUGAGCACAUCUACACAGAGCACUGUCACAGGAAAGAAGCAUCCAUCAUCAGGGAACUCUACCACCCAGGUCAUGCUCUAUUCUCACUGCUGCUAUCAGGAAGAAGGUACAGGAGCCUCAACACUGAUACAAACCGGUUCAGGAACAGUUGUUACCCCUCAACCACCAGGCUCCUGAACCAGAGGGGCUAAUUUCAUUCAACUUCACUGCAACGUUCUCACAACCUAUGGACUCGCAUUUAAGAGUUCUUCAUCUGAUGUUUUCAAUACUUAUUGCAUAUUUAUUUUUAUUAUUGUUUGAUUUUUAUUAUUUCUGAGUUCAAGCUGGUAAUACCUGAUGUAUGAGCAUUGCCACGUAGGCCUAAUUGUUUAACACUAUUACAUAGUGACUUUAGGAUGAUACUAGUUGUAGUUAUUACUAUUGGAAUUAUGUAUACUCUGUUCAUGUUCCAUAGUCCUUCAAUUUCCUCUUUUAAUUCAGCAUUUUUCUGGUGAUUUACACUUAUUGAUUUCCGUACAUUAUGUGUGUUUGGAAUGACUAUAUCUAUUAAGUAAAUUGUUCUUCCUUGUUUAUGCUGUAAUAUUAUUAUUAUUUUAUGAUGGUCGUAUCUUGUAUGGAACUUAUAUUUCCUUACCUUUUCACUUAACUUCCUUGCUCGUGUUAUCUAUUUUGAACAGGCUAUUUCCGCUCCUAAGGUUUCAAUUUUGUUUCUUAAUCUCUUCUGCCAUUUAGCUAUUCUCAAUUCACUACUCAGUUUUGAGCUUCUAUUAAUGAGUGCCCCUAUUCUGGAGCCAUUGCACAGCAUUGCUGUUAAUGUUGUGAAUUUUAAAUUAUGUAAAUCUUACAUCCCAAAACAUAAGGGAGUAAAAAUCUUUGUGUUAUGACUCCAUUGCAAUGUACAGACAUGUGAAUUUAUAAGUCUAAUGGCUUGUAGAAUGAAGCUGUCCUGUAGCCUGUUGGUCCUGGCUUUAAUACUGUGGUACCAUUUGCCAGAUGGAAGAAGCUGAAACAGAUUAUUGUGGGGGUGACUGGUGUCCCCACAAUCUCCCAGGCUUCUUAUGCACCUUUUGCCAUAAAUGUCCUUAGUGGUGGGAAGUUCAUGUCCCCAGAUGCACUGGGCUGUCCAUAUCACUCUGCAGUGCCCAGCAGUCAAGGUUGGUGCAGUUCAAGAUGCUCUCAAUGGUGCCCCUAUAGGAGGUCUUGAAGAUUUUGGGGCUCAAGCUGAACUUCUUCAGUCUACUGAGGUGGAAGAGAUGCUGUUGUCUUUUUUUAACCACACAGCCUGUAUGUGCAGUCCAAGUGAGAUCUUCUGUGAUGUGUAUACUGAGAAACUUGAAACUACUGACCUUCUCAACACAGUCCCUUUGAUGUUGAUCAGGGCGAGUCUUUCUCUGUUUCACCUGUAAUCCACGAUCAGUUCUUUUAAUUUUUGGACAUUGAGGGAGAGGUUGUUAUCCUGGCACCACUGUGUCAGGGUGUUAACCUCUGCUCUGUGGGCCAUCUCAUCACCACGAGAAAUAUGGCCAAUCAAUGUUGUGUCAUCUGCAAAUUUGAUCAGCAUUUUGGAGCUGUGUGCGGCAACACAGUCAUACGUGUAAAGGGAGUAGAGGAGAGGACUCAGGACACAACCCUGAGGGGCACCUGUGUUGAGGGUCAGAGGGCUGGAGGUGAGACUACUCAUCCUUACCACCUACUGGCGAUCCAACAGGAAGUCUAGGAUCCAGCUGCACAAGGCAUGGUGCAGUCUGAGAUCUUUGAGCUUCCUGUCAAGUCUGGAGUGAAUUAUGGUGUUGAAUGAUGAACUGUACUCCAGGAAUAGCAUUCUAACAUAUGUAUCCCUUUUCUCCAGGUGAGUGAGGACGGUGUGUAGUGCUGUGGCUAUGGUGUCAUCAGUAGACUGGUUCCUUUGGUAAGUGAAUUGUAGGGGGUCCAGUGUGGGUGGUAGCACACUGCAGAUGUAGCAUUUGCUUAUAAUUGAAGUGAGUGCAGCAGGAUACUACCUUGGUUUUCUUAGGCACAGGGACAAUGAUGGAUGAUUUGAAACGGGGGGGGGGGCACUGUACAUUGGGAGAGGGAGAGAAAAUGUCUGUAAACACACUAGCCAGCUGUUCAGCACACACUUUGAGGACCCGCCCUGGGAUACUGUCUGGCCCUGCUGCCUUGCAGCUGUUGAUGUGCUGGAAUAUCCUGUGUACCUCAGCCUUGGAGAUGACCAAGGAGCAGGUCUUGUUGGUGGCUCUCCUCAGGGGUUCAGUCUUAUCAACCUUGAAUCGAGCAUCAAAAACAUUUAGCUCAUCUGGAAGCAAGGCAGCAUCUUGAAGUCCAUGAUGGCGUGUCAUUGUGGCACAGAGUUGUGACUGGAUUUUGUCCAUGUGUUGUGGUUUUGUCACCUUGAUGGCUCUACAUAAAUCAUAGUGGCAUCUCUUGAGCUCCUGUUGGUCUCCAGAGGUGAAGGAUUUAUACAUUGCACUGAGAGCAGCACUUACACACUGAACUAUUUAUCCAAGGCUUCUGGUUUGGGUAGACCCCGAACAAUUCUUGGGGAACAAUGUCUUCAAAGCAUUUCCGAAUGAAGCUUGUUGUCCAGGGACUGUUCAUUGGCCAGGAGUAUGCUAGGGAGUGGUGGCCAAUUUGUGCACCGUACAAACCUAACCAAGAUGCCGGCUCUUCUUCCUCGCCUCCGAUGCCACUUCCUCGGUAACACUGGUGUAAUGAAUGAACCUCUCGUGGUUUGUGGGAGCAGGGGUUCCCAGUGGAAGAAAGGCAGCAUGAUAGGGCUGAAUGUCAUUUAUCUGAUGUUCAAAAGAGUCAGUUGAACAUACCUGAUGUGACUUUCAGUUUCUUGUUAGAGAAAUGCAUAAAGAAGUAGAGAGAUAAACAGAAAUUUACAAUGCCAAUUCGGAGUACACAACACACUGUUGUACCUGGUGCCAUCCUGAAUAUUUAGUAUGUUAUUGUGUGUAGUUCUUCAAAUGUUUCAAGUUUUCCUAAAUAAUCAGGUAAUAUAAUAUUGCUGAGAGUAUUAAGAAUAUUUUUUCAAAUUUUGAUGAUGAUUUGUUGUGUUAUGUAAGGUUUUCUUGUAAGGGGUCAGUGCUCCUGUAUUCAGUUAGUGUGAUGUUAAAUGUUAGGAUAAUUUUAUCUGUAAGCUCAGUUUCUUCAUCAGCAUUCUGUGGAGGCUCUACAUCUCUGUGGUUACUCUUAUUAUUGGAGUGGUUAUUGAAGAAAUUCCAUUUUCAUAUGUGCUAAGGGGAUUGUCAUCUUCAUUAUUUUCUUGUAUAGCAUUGUUGUGUACUUUAGGUUGGUUUCUUUCUAGCUCCUGUGCUACCUUAUGUUUUAUUUAGUUUAACAUGUCUACAGGGAUUAAAUUAUUUA